rnacentral:tRNA from 1 species
GCCUGGGUGGCUCAGUUGGUUGAGCAUCUGACUUUGGUUCAGGUCAUGAUCUUGCUGGUUUGAGUUCUAGCCCCACGUU